rnacentral:rRNA from 1 species
AGCUUGCUUCUCGCUGACGAGCGGCGGACGGGUGAGUAACGCGUGGGAAUUUGCCCUUUUGUGGGGGAUAACUUGGGGAAACUCAAGCUAAUACCGCAUAAGCCCUACGGGGGAAGCAGGGGAUCUUCGGACCUUGCGCAGAAGGAUGAGCCCGCGUCAGAUUAGCUUGUUGGUGAGGUAAUGGCUCACCAAGGCGACGAUCUGUAACUGGUCUGAGAGGAUGAUCAGUCACACCGGAACUGAGACACGGUCCGGACUCCUACGGGAGGCAGCAGUGGGGAAUCUUGGACAAUGGGGGCAACCCUGAUCCAGCCAUGCCGCGUGUGUGAAGAAGGCCCUAGGGUUGUAAAGCACUUUCAGUAGUGAGGAAGGCUUCGGGUUAAUACCCUGGAGUACUUGACGUUAGCUACAGAAGAGGCACCGGCUAAUUUCGUGCCAGCAGCCGCGGUAAUACGAAAGGUGCGAGCGUUAAUCGGAAUUACUGGGCGUAAAGCGCGCGUAGGCGGUUAGUUAAGUCGGAUGUGAAAUCCCCGGGCUCAACCUGGGAACUGCAUCCGAUACUGGCUAACUAGAAUGCAGUAGAGGGAGGUAGAAUUUCCGGUGUAGCGGUGAAAUGCGUAGAGAUCGGAAGGAAUACCAGUGGCGAAGGCGGCCUCCUGGACUGACAUUGACGCUGAGGUGCGAAAGCGUGGGGAUCAAACAGGAUUAGAUACCCUGGUAGUCCACGCCGUAAACGAUGUCUACUAGCCGUCGGAACCCUUCGUGGUUUUGGUGGCGCAGCUAACGCGAUAAGUAGACCGCCUGGGGAGUACGGCCGCAAGGUUAAAACUCAAAUGAAUUGA